AUUGAACGCUGGCGGCAUGCCUUACACAUGCAAGUCGAACGGCAGCACGGGAGCAAUCCUGGUGGCGAGUGGCGAACGGGUGAGUAAAGUAUCGGAACGUGCCCAGUCGUGGGGGAUAACGUAGCGAAAGUUACGCUAAUACCGCAUACGAUCUACGGAUGAAAGGGGGGGAUGGCAAGACCGCGCGCGAAUGGAGCCGGUGAAAUCAGAUUAGGUAGUUGGUGGGGUAAAGGCUCACCAAGCCGACGAUCUGUAGCUGGUCUGACGGGGACGACCAGCCACACUGGGACUGAGACACGGCCCAGACUCCUACGGGAGGCAGCAGUGGGGAAUUUUGGACAAUGGGCGCAAGCCUGAUCCAGCCAUGCCGCGUGCAGGAUGAAGGCCUUCGGGUUGUAAACUGCUUUUGUACGGAACGAAAAGGUUUGGCCUAAUAAGCUGGACCCAUGACGGUACCGUAAGAAUAAGCACCGGCUAACUACGUGCCAGCCGCCGCAGUAA
rnacentral:rRNA from 1 species